CAGCAGCCGCGGGAAUACGUAGGGCGCAAGCGUUGUCCGGAAUUAUUGGGCGUAAAGAGCUCGUAGGCGGUCUGUCGCGUCUGGUGUGAAAUCCCGAGGCUCAACCUCGGGCUUGCAUCGGGUACGGGCAGACUAGAGUGCGGUAGGGGAGACUGGAAUUCCUGGUGUAGCGGUGGAAUGCGCAGAUAUCAGGAGGAACACCGAUGGCGAAGGCAGGUCUCUGGGCCGCAACUGACGCUGAGGAGCGAAAGCACGGGGAGCGAACAGGAUUAGAGACCCCUGUAGUCCCUGUCUCUUAUAC
rnacentral:rRNA from 1 species